UUUAUUUCUCAUCUAAUUGAUUAGAGAUCUUAGGAAGGGAAGAGCCAUUCCCUGGGCUGUUUUUGAAAAGUGAGUCUUGAACUCUCUACAGAUAAGUAAUGAAAAGGUUCUAAUGAGGCAGAGAGAGACCUCUGGUUUUGUAAGGAGGAGGUGCAGAAUGGCAUCCCCUGUGUCCAUGGGAAUGCUCCUGGAAAGGACAACUAUUGGUUAAUUGGGGAAGAGCUCAAUGGCACGUAGGUGAAGGCUGUUGGCAGUGACCCUAACAGUACCUUCCCUGAACAUUCUAUUCUACCCUGGAGAGCCCUGAGCAUCCUCUUGAUGUCACCACUGUUGAAGCAACACCAACUGCCAUUUGGGGCAUUUGUACAGUGCCCCUGGGAGUCACAAAGACAAGUUGGUGAGACUGAGAAAGCUACUUGGGAAAGAGAAUGGACAGCCUAGAGAAGAGAGAGAGGCAGAACGAAGCUGGCAAACUGUCUCAGGGAAUGACUGGAAAGGCAUCUUUUCAACUCUCCCCUCACUGAGCAGGAUCUGGAGAUGAACAAGGUGGAGAAAAUGACCAUUCAGCUACAGAUGAUGACCUGUUAGAGGAAUGAACUGCAUUGAAUCUUGGACCAUUAUACUAAUACUGAUUUGAACAGCAGAACAUAUCUAAAGACCCAGAAAUGAAGAUAAAUGACAGAGAAUAUAUUUCUGUGGACAAGAAACAGUGUCUGUUUCUUGAUCAAACUACAUCACAGUAUUUACAUCGAUCAGAGCCAGCUCGCCAGAAGAGGUUAAAGAGGAGGGUUUGAAAUCUUUUUGGAAGUCCAGAAGUUAAUGUUUGUCCUCAGGGAGAGCCACUACCUAAUACCUCUGAAGAGCAAACACCCCUAAAGGCAAGAAGUAUAUGUGGGACAAGCAGAGAAGAGAAUUGUGGGAAGCAUCAGGAAUCGCCAGCCAGACACAGAGGAGGCAAGAUGUAAAGAUACUGGGAAUCCCUUCCCUCUCUUCAACUGGACUCCUGGAGGUCGACCUGGUGCUGGACUGUGGAUCUCUGCAUCUGCUUCCAUCAGUUACUGGAUGAAGGCUCUAUGAUGACAGGGUAUUUUCCAAUCUGAUUACCUGGGUAAGCCAGCUCAGACACCCUCUCCACUAUUGCUAGUAGUCUAAGCUGGGGUCAUCCUUGUGGAUUCCUGGGAACUUCCCUAGCACCCGAUUUCUCACUAUGCCCAUGAUGUCUCCCUCUAUCAAGGUAUCUCUUUCAUUGCUCUCCCACUCCUUCCCUGUUCCAGCUUGACCAUCCUGUUUCCCUAUGUUCUCAUCUCCCAUCCCCUAUCCUUUAUCAUCCCCCCAACCCCAGUUUACUCAUUGAGAUAUCCUCUGUUUCUCCUUCCCAAGGUGAUCCAUGCAUUCCUCUGAGGGUCUCCCUGUUUCCAAGCUUCUCUGGAGCUGUGGGUUGUAGUCUGGUUAUCCUUUACAUCUAGUAUCCACUUAUAAACUAAGUCAGCAGACCAAUAGAUCUGUUGGGGCUGGAUCACCUGGAAGACAGCUGGUAUGCUCCUCACUGGAAACAGAUUCACACUGCAGAGAACCUGUAAUCAGCAGGAGUGUGCUGCAUCCAGAUCUGCGCAAAGCCUGUCAAAGUCCUCCCACAUCUAUGGUCAUCCAGUCAUCUCCAGACUAGAAGCUCCAGGAUGGGAGAAUAGUCAAGUAUCAUGCCCAGAAAAAGGACUGAGAAGGGGCUACUCAGACAUCUGUCACAUGAACCAAGAGAUUGGCAAAAGGAAGAGAACACAUUGGGAUGCAGGAUGAAUGGAGAAGACCCCAUGCCUCCCAAAUCAUUGACAAUGAGAACCACUCACUUGGCACUGACACUGUGCUCUAGUCCUUGAAGGCUGCUUCCUCCCUGUGAUCUCACAUGACCCUUGCAAAGCAAAUGAGCCACAGGCCACUGACAUCAUCAAUGAAAGCUUUGUGCUGUUCUCUAAGUAGCUCCCUGCAUAGCAGGCCUCUGAUCAUAAUGACAUGUAGGUGUGUGAUAUGUGACUGACACAGCUCUCUCAAUGUACUGCAGCUUCUGGCAGAGCAGGAGGGUUUGCUUGCCAAUUAUCCAGAUUCUUGCAAGAGGCUAACUCUCCAGAAAGACCUGGGAAUGAUCACAGAAAUCAACAGUUGGAUGAAUCUUUUCACUACUUUACCCAUGGAGAGUUGAACACUCACUUUAUAAGCACUGCCCAAGAAUGGACCUUCCUCUCCUUAACAACCAUACUCAAUAAUAUGAGAAAUAAAGUAUGUCAAGGAAUUAGAUUAGGAUGAUGUGGAGGAGGACGGUUGAGUUCUCUGAAGUGAGCAAGCACCUGAGGAAUGCUAAGGUUAAGAGAAGACGGCCAUGGAGAAUUUGAAGGUGGGGUUCCUGAAGAUGAUAAUGACACAACUCAUUGAACAUGGAGAAGUCAAGCUAGUGUCUCCCUAGAGUCUUCACCACUUAUGGACUAGAUUUCAUGGCACUGAAGAGUACUCUGCUCACUAUCAAAGGAGAAAGCCAUCAUAGGAGCAGCUUCCAUCUGCAGCAGAUGGGAACAAAUACAGAGACCCUCAUCUAGACAAUAUGCAGAGAGGAAGAGAACUUGAACACUCAACCCUAAACUGGACCUCUCCAAUCAGACUCCUCCCCUCAGGACAUAGGGAACCCUUUGGAAGAGGAGGUAAAAAGAGUGCCAUAGAAUAUUGUGGAUGGCAAGACCACGGUCCAUCUACUGAGGGGAAGCACAGAUAUGGAGUGGAGCCAGACUAACCCUGAGAAAAGCUGCACUGCAUGUGUUGCAAGCAGUGGAACUGGAGAGGGAGGAAUGCCCCAUCCAUUUGGAGCCCAGAAGAUCAAUCACAUGAGUGCUGUGGGAUGUCUUUCUGUAUACUGUGAAUAUGUGUUUCUCUGAUUGGUUAAUAGAUAAUGCUGCAUUGGCCUAUGGCAGAAAAGGAUGGAGCCAGGUGGGAAAAUCCAAGAGAGAUAGGGAAAGGAGAAAGCAGAGGCAGGAGAGACAUUAGCCAACUGCCCAAGGAGCAACAUGUAAUGGGAAGCAGGCUCCAUCCACUCUGGCUGGUGUGAAGCUUCCUCCCAACACUGCUUAGCUGGACCAUCAAGAGGGAGUCCUACCCACACCUCCACCACCAGCAGUGUCUCCUCA